UACGUAGGGGGCAAGCGUUGUCCGGAUUUAUUGGGCGUAAAGAGCGUGUAGGCGGCCAUACAGGUCAGCUGUGAAAACUCGAGGCUCAACCUCGAGACGUCGGUUGAAACCGUAUGGCUAGAGUCCGGAAGAGGAGAGUGGAAUUCCCGGUGUAGUGGUGAAAUGCGUAGAUAUCAGGAGGAACACCAAUUGCGAAGGCAGCUCGCUGGAACGUGACUGACGCUGGAGACGCGAAAGCGUGGGGAGCAAACAGG
rnacentral:rRNA from 1 species